ensembl:lncRNA
UGUCACACAGAAAAGUCUCUCAUAUAUUUGGCAUAAAGAUCACUGCUGCUCUUCUUGAGAACCAUGAAAUCUUUCCUGAUCAUUGCUUGUAUCUUUGGACUCUGCUUUGCCGUGCUAGCAGAGGAUGGAGAACUUCGAGAGAAGCGCUCAUCAAGCCGUUCCUCAGAGAGACAUCCUGGAGGCUUCUUCAACCCAAACCCAUUUCAGCGUCCCUAUCCCUAUCCGUACUUCCCCCCUUACCAGCCUCGGCCUCAACCUCAGCCUCUGCCUCCAAACAACAAUGCUCUCCUCAGCCUCUUGCCAUUCAUCUUAGCACAGCUGGCAUCCAAACCUGCUCCUGCACCGGCCCCUGCACCGGCACCUGCACCGGCCCCUGCACCGGCCCCUGCACCGGCCCCGGCCCCAGCCCCUGCACCAGCCCCAGCUCCUGCUCCUGCCCCUGGUGGGCGAUAAGACACCAGUUAAAACUGAGCAUGUGUCUCCUUGACUUAAAUAAACUUAGUAUCAUUGAAUCAUACAUUUGUGUUUGUGUGAUUCUUUCUAAAUGUAAGUUCUUAAA